rnacentral:rRNA from 1 species
UACGUAGGGAGCAAGCGUUUGUCCGGAUUUAUUGGGCGUAAGAGCGUGUAGGCGGCCUGGCAGGUCCGUUGUGAAAACCCGAGGCUCAACUUCGGGACGUCGAUGGAAACCGCAAGGCUAGAGUCCGGAAGAGGAGAGUGGAAUUCCCCGGUGUAGCGGUGAAAUGCGCAGAUAUCGGGGAGGAACACCUAUGGCGAAGGCAGCUCGCUGGGACGUUACUGACGCUGAGACGCGAAAGCGUGGGGAGCAAACAGG